AUUGAACGCUGGCGGCAGGCCUAACACAUGCAAGUCGAACGAGUGGCGGACGGGUGAGUAAUGUCUGGGAAAAUGCCUGAUGGAGGGGGAUAACUAAUGGAAAAGGUAGCUAAUACCGCAUACCAUCGGAUGUGCCCAGAUGGGCUUAGCUAGGAGGGGGGGUAAAGGCUCACCUAGGCGACGAUCCCUAGCUGGUCUGAGUGGAUGACCAGCCACACUGCAACUGAGCCACGGUCCAGACGCCUACGGGAGGCAGCAGUGGGGAAUAUUGCACAAUGGGCGCAAGCCUGAUGCAGCCCUGCCGCUUGUAUGAAGAAGGCCUUCGGGUUGUAAAGUACUUUCAGCGGGGAGGCGUUACCCGCAGAAGAAGCACCGGCUAACUCCGUGCCAGCCGCCGCGGUAAUUC
rnacentral:rRNA from 1 species